AUGUCAGCCCCUCCAUUCCGGGCACUGGUCGGCCGGCCGGGUGUUCUGCGUGCCGGCCUUGAUCGGGCACGGCGCGUACACCGGCGGCACCAUGCAGUUGUACAUCAGGCAGAGCGAGACGCCGGAGGGGAGCGACGACGACGGCGAUAUCUCGAUGCCGGUCAGGAAGUUGUGCUGCAGGUACAGCAGCUGCAGCCCGCCGGUGCCCACCAGCUCCUGCACCAGCCGCGACGGCACGUCGCCGGUGAACCGGUUGUUGUUCAGGUACAGCUGCCCGACGCCCGCCAGGAGCGGCGACAGAGGCCCCCAGAACCGGUUGUAGCUCAGGUCCACCACCGGGAUCGUCACGUCGCUCGUCGGCUGGAGGAGGCCGGAGAAGAAGUUGCGCUGGAGCUGGAGCACGGAGAGCGGCAACGUGAAGACGGACGCCGGGACCGGCCCCUGGAGCUGGUUCAUGCUGAGGUCGAGGUAGUUGAGCCGAGUCAGCCGGGGCAGCAUGGAGUCGACGUUGCCGGUGAGACGGUUCGCCGCGAGCGAGAGGUACUGCAGCGAGCCCGGCAGGCUGGGCACGCCGCCGGAGAGGGCAUUGUGCUUGAGGUCCAUCCGGAGGAGCGGCGAGGAGUCCGGGAACGAGGGGAUGCCACCGGUGAGCUGGUUGUGGCAGAGGAUGAGGUUGGUGAUCGAUGGCAGCGACGCAAUGGACGGCGGGAUGGCGCCGGAGAUCUGGUUGAAGCUGACGUCGAGCGUCCGGAGGUUGGACAGCGCGCCAAUGCCGUCCGGUAUCCCGCCGGAGAGGAGGUUCUUGCUGACGGCCAGGAAGCGGAGGUUGGAGCAGGAGGCGAGGGAGGCCGGGAGCUCGCCCUGGACGCGGCCGGGCACGAGCGAGAGCUCGGUGAGCGCCGACAUCCGGCCGAGCGCCGGGUCGAGCCUCCCGGUGAGCCCCGGCGACCCGGCCCUGGGGUCGCCGAGCGCGAGCGCCGACACCCUGUUCCCGUCGCAGUAGACGCCGGGGAAGCCGCAGGGGUCCGCCGUGAAGUCCCAGGCGUCGAAGAAGGCGGAGCCCGGCAUGUCGUCGAGCGACCUCCGCACCGCCUGCAGCGCGAGGAAGUCCACCGGGUCGAGAAUGCCCUCCGCCGCGAGCGCCGCCGCCAAGAAGUACACCGCCACGACAGCGCCGAGCCGCGCCAUCCCCCACGAAAGCGCCUCGGUUCAAGCUCGCUCGCAAUGGAGCGGAAGAGGCCUUCUGCAAGAAGGAAGAAUUAA
rnacentral:rRNA from 1 species